rnacentral:rRNA from 1 species
AUGAUGUCCGGACUCAAGGUGAAUUUUCAAAAAAGCGAGAUCCUCACGGUGGGUGGAGAUGACGGUGUUGUUAGAGAAUACGUUGAAUUAUUCAACUGUGAUAUUGGGAGUUUCCCUAUUAGGUACUUAGGGAUGCCUGUGAGCUACACCAAUCUUCAUAAUUCUGAUUGGGAAUUCAUUGUGGUCAAGUAUCUUUAG